rnacentral:misc_RNA from 1 species
AGAUAUACUAUUAUUCAUGAAAAAUAACUUCCUUCAUACGAAAUACACCAUGUUGAUGCUUUUACAAACAAAGAAAUAAGCAACCGUCUGCUAGCUUCCACCCAAAAAAAAGGAACCUUUGUUUUAUUAACCAAUAAUGAUUCAAGCAUUUGUGUCCACCAGCUCCAGUAAACAGGUAUAGAAGAUGCACAAAGAAAACAAGGAUGAUAGAGUAGCACAUGAUCAGUUUUAAAACUUUGCAUGUACUGAUCAAUAACCAAAAUGAGCUUCUGGAAGCCAGACCCUACUUUGACUGUGUGUCACCCGAUGAAAUUGCAGGUUCAUCCUUCUUUGAACCAGCAUCCAAUUUGCCAGAAGUAACCGCCUCCAUUGUAUUAUAGAAUUCCUCAGGGAGAGGACCAGGACGGUGCAGAGGAACAUGUUUUGGUACUGGAGCAUCAUUUUCAAUGACUUCACAUUCAUAAUCAUCAGGAAUACCCCAAGGUUUCCACUCG